rnacentral:lncRNA from 10 species
AAAUUCAUGUGUUGGAAACUUAAUCUCCAAUGCAACAGCGUUGGGAAGUGGGGCCUCCUCCAGUUCCUUUGCCACACUGCUACCACAGAGGGAUCUUUUAAGAACUCAAAUCUGGCUGGGUGAGGUGGCUCAUGCCUGUAAUCCCAGCACUUUGGGAGGCUGAGGCAGGAGAAUAGCUUGAGCCCAGGAAUUUGAGAUCAGCCUGGGCAACAUAGUGAGAUCCUGUCUCUAAAAAAAAAAAUUAGCUGGGCACAGUGAUCUGCACCUGUAGUCCUAGCUACUCGAGAGGCUGAGGCAGGAGGAUCCUUUUGAGCCUAGAAGUUCGAGGUUGCAGUGAGAUAGGAUCACACCACUGCACUGGGUGGCAGAGUGAGACCCUAUCUCAGAAAAAAACAAAACCCCAAAUCUGAUCUUGUUAUUACUCCUCUGCUUACAACUCUUCAGGGACUCCUGAAGUAGUUGAGAACACACCACCCCAAAUAAGCUACUCUGGUUCUUAUUGAUUAUUUUGAGUUAAAAGCACCUAAAAAACAGCAGAUGCAUAAAGGGUACUCUGACUUGACUUUUUCUUCCUGAAAGCAGAAGCAGAAGAUAAAACUCACAUAUGAAAGGUGUUCUUUUUCCUUUUCUUUUUUUUUUUUUUUUGUUUUUUUUAGACAGUCUUGCUCUGUCGCCCAGGCUGGAGUGCAGUGGCACCAUCUUGAUCUCGGCUCACUGCAACCUCCGCCUCCCAGGUUCAAGUGAUUCUCAUGGUUCAGCCUCCCGAGUAGCUGGGAUUACAGGUGCCCGCCACCACAUCUGGCUAAUGUUUGUGUUUUUAGUAGAGAUGGGGUUUCACCAUAUUGGCCAGGCUGGUCUCGAACUCCUGACCUCAAGCAAUCCACCCACCUCAGCCUCCCAAAGUGUUGGGAUUACAGGCGUGAGCCACUGUGCCCACCUAGAGGAUAUUCUUAACACCAGAAAUAGGGAAUCAAGGCCAUAAAAAAUCUGUAUUAAAAAACCUUGUUAAAUGAAUUCUUAUCUUCCUGGUCACUUCUCCAUGAUUAACUACCCUAGACCAAGUCCAUAUUUUCACAAUUUACUACUCUUUGUCCCACUUAGCAUAUAAUCAUAUGGCUCAAACUGCUUCUUUGGGUCAUUUCCUUAUGAAGGCUCCUGUGUCAUGUAAAACUUAUAUUAAACAAAUUUGUAUGCUUUUCUCUUGUUAAGUUGUGUUUUGUUACAGAGCUCCAGCCAAGAACCCUAAGAUGGGAAGGGGAAAGAUUUUUCCUUCUCUACACUUCCCAAUGGGACGAGUUAUUUCAUCUGCAGCAUAUUCUGAUAUUCACCAUUAAGCCUCUCCUGACCUACUCCAGCUGAAUUAAUGGAAUCUUCUUCUACCAGCAAACCUGAUA